rnacentral:rRNA from 1 species
GAUGAACGCUGGCGGCGUGCCUAAUACAUGCAAGUCGAGCGAACGGACGAGAAGCUUGCUUUUCUGAUGUUAGCGGCGGACGGGUGAGUAACACGUGGAUAACCUACCUAUAAGACUGGGAUAACUUCGGGAAACCGGAGCUAAUACCGGAUAAUAUUUUGAACCGCAUGGUUCAUAAGUGAAAGACGGUCUUGCUGUCACUUAUAGAUGGAUCCGCGCUGCAUUAGCUAGUUGGUAAGGUAACGGCUUACCAAGGCAACGAUGCAUAGCCGACCUGAGAGGGUGAUCGGCCACACUGGAACUGAGACACGGUCCAGACUCCUACGGGAGGCAGCAGUAGGGAAUCUUCCGCAAUGGGCGAAAGCCUGACGGAGCAACGCCGCGUGAGUGAUGAAGGCCUUCGGAUCGUAAAACUCUGUUAUUAGGGAAGAACAUAUGUGUAAGUAACUGUGCACAUCUUGACGGUACCUAAUCAGAAAGCCACGGCUAACUACGUG